rnacentral:rRNA from 1 species
UCCCGAACACAGAAGUUAAGCUCUCCAGCGCCGAUGAUACUUGGCGGGCGACCGCCCGGGAAAGCAGGACGCUGCCAUUC